rnacentral:tRNA from 1 species
GGGCGAGUAACCCGUAAACGGUAGCGGUCCUGACUGUAAAUCAGGGACUCCAGUAGUCCAGAAGGUUCGAUUCCUUCCUCGCCCA